UCUCACUUUGUUUUUGCAUUAUUUAAACCAAAUUGAACAUGUUUCAUUAUUUACUGAGGCUAAAUUGAUUUUAUUGGUGUAUUAUAUUAAUUUAAAAUAAGUGUUCAUUCAGUAUUGUUGUAAUUGUCAUUAUUACAAAUACGUUUCAAUACGGUAUCAGCUUUUUUGGUGCUCCAAUAAUCGGUAUCUACGUUGAAAAAUCAUAAUCGGUUGACCUCUAAUACACACACCCCUAGUGACCCCCGCUGCACCCCUGAGUGACACAGUAAAAAUCCCGAAACCCUAAAGCCUUCAGAUUCUAGCCCUGUUUGUCUAGGCCCUCCAUUCGAAAUAGUCCAUCUCAAUCCGGAUAACCUGAAUGGCUCUACUGGCAGCCAGUCACUCAGCAGAUUGGAGCUCCCUCCCGGUCGCUGUCCCGGUGUGAAAGCCCUGAUUCAUGGCGUUGGGGACCAGGGCCUUUAAAAGAACAGCAUGGUCCUGUGUGCUUGCCCUUCACUGGGGCGUGACUGACGGGGGCUGUUUGGGAAGGGGAAUUAGUACCCGGGCUUAAGUCUUAUUUAGUGAGACACAACGUUGGAGAGAUUUAAAGAGGACGUGGCAGUAGUGUAGUAAAGUACCUAUUACUGCUACUAGUGUGUGUUGGACGGGGGGUAUGGUGUGAGUAUGUGUUGGACGGGGGUAUAUGGUGUGAGUGUGUGUUGGACGGGGGGUAUGGUGUGAGUGUGUGUGAGUGUGUGUUGGACGGGGGUGUAUGGUGUGAGUUAGGAAUUAGUACCCGGGCUUAAGUCUUAUUUAGUGAGACACAACGUUGGAGAGAUUUAAAGAGGACGUGGCAGUAGUGUAGUAAAGUACCUAUUACUGCUACUAGUGUGUGUUGGACGGGGGGUAUGUUGUGAGUAUGUGUUGGAUGGGGGUAUAUGGUGUGAGUGUGCGUUGGAUGGGGGUGUAUGGUGUGAGUAUGUGUUGGAUGGGGGUAUAUGGUGUGAGUAUGUGUUGGAUGGGGGGUAUGGUGUGAGUGUGUGUGAGUGUGUGUUGGACGGGGGUGUAUGGUGUGAGUUAGGAAUU
ensembl:lncRNA